CCUACGGGAGGCAGCAGUGGGGAAUAUUGCACAAUGGGCGCAAGCCUGAUGCAGCCAUGCCGCGUGUGUGAAGAAGGCCUUCGGGUUGUAAAGCACUUUCAGCGGGGAGGAAGGCGUUAAGGUUAAUAACCUUGUCGAUUGACGUUACCCGCAGAAGAAGCACCGGCUAACUCCGUGCCAGCAGCCGCGGUAGUACGGAGGGUGCAAGCGUUAAUCGGAAUUACUGGGCGUAAAGCGCACGCAGGCGGUCUGUCAAGUCGGAUGUGAAAUCCCCGGGCUCAACCUGGGAACGGCAUUCGAAACUGGCAGGCUAGAGUCUUGUAGAGGGGGGUAGAAUUCCAGGUGUAGCGGUGAAAUGCGUAGAGAUCUGGAGGAAUACCGGUGGCGAAGGCGGCCCCCUGGACAAAGACUGACGCUCAGGUGCGAAAGCGUGGGGAGCAAACAGGAUUAGAUACCCGUGUAGUC
rnacentral:rRNA from 1 species